rnacentral:rRNA from 1 species
UACAGAGGUCUCAAGCGUUGUUCGGAUUCAUUGGGCGUAAAGGGUGCGUAGGCGGCGCGGUAAGUCGGGUGUGAAAUCUCGGGGCUUAACUCCGAAACUGCAUUCGAUACUGCCGUGCUUGAGGACUGGAGAGGAGACUGGAAUUUACGGUGUAGCGGUGAAAUGCGUAGAUAUCGUAAGGAAGACCAGUGGCGAAGGCGGGUCUCUGGACAGUUCCUGACGCUGAGGAGCGAAAGCGUGGGGAGCAAACAGG